UACGAAGGGGGCGAGCGUUGUUCGGAAUCACUGGGCGUAAAGGGCGCGUAGGCGGCCCUCCUAGUCGCGUGUGAAAGCCCGGGGCUCAACCUCGGAACGGCCUUUGAGACUGCCAGACUUGAGACCGGAAGAGGAGAGUGGAAUUCCCAGUGUAGAGGUGAAAUUCGUAGAUAUUGGGAAGAACACCAGUGGCGAAGGCGGCUCUCUGGUCCGGACCUGACGCUGAGGCGCGAAAGCGUGGGGAGCAAACAGG
rnacentral:rRNA from 1 species